rnacentral:rRNA from 1 species
AUGAACGCUAGCGACAGGCUUAACACAUGCAAGUCGAGGGGCAGCAUGAACUUAGCUUGCUAAGUUUGAUGGCGACCGGCGCACGGGUGAGUAACGCGUAUGCAACUUACCUAUCAGAGGAGAAUAGCUCAUCGAAAGAUGAAUUAAUGCUCCAUAAAACAGGGGUCCCGCAUGGGAAUAUUUGUUAAAGAUUCAUCGCUGAUAGAUAGGCAUGCGUUCCAUUAGGCAGUUGGCGGGGUAACGGCCCACCAAACCGACGAUGGAUAGGGGUUCUGAGAGGAAGGUCCCCCACAUUGGUACUGAGACACGGACCAAACUCCUACGGGAGGCAGCAGUGAGGAAUAUUGGUCAAUGGCCGAGAGGCUGAACCAGCCAAGUCGCGUGAAGGAAGAAGGAUCUAUGGUUUGUAAACUUCUUUUAUACGGGAAUAAAGUGUGGAACGUGUUCCAUUUUGUAUGUACCGUAUGAAUAAGCAUCGGCUAACUCCGUGCCAGCAGCCGCGGUAAUACGGAGGAUGCGAGCGUUAUCCGGAUUUAUUGGGUUUAAAGGGUGCGUAGGUGGUCUUUUAAGUCAGCGGUGAAAGUUUGUGGCUCAACCAUAAAAUUGCCAUUGAAACUGGGAGACUUGAGUAUGUUUGAGGUAGGCGGAAUGCGUGGUGUAGCGGUGAAAUGCAUAGAUAUCACGCAGAACUCCGAUUGCGAAGGCAGCUUGCCAAGCCAUAACUGACACUGAAGCACGAAAGCGUGGGUAUCAAACAGGAUUAGAUACCCUGGUAGUCCACGCCGUAAACGAUGAGUGCUAGGUGUUAGGCCCUUUCCGGGGCUUAGUGCCGGAGCUAACGCAAUAAGCACUCCGCCUGGGGAGUACGACCGCAAGGUUGAAACUCAAAGGAAUUGACGGGGGCCCGCACAAGCAGUGGAGUAUGUGGUUUAAUUCGACGCAACGCGAAGAACCUUACCAGGGCUUGACAUAUACAUGAAAGUCUAAGAGAUUAGACCCCUCUUCGGAGCGUGUAUACAGGUGGUGCAUGGUUGUCGUCAGCUCGUGCCGUGAGGUGUCGGCUUAAGUGCCAUAACGAGCGCAACCCUUGCCGUUAGUUACUAACAAGUAAAGUUUAGGACUCUAGCGGGACUGCCAGCGUAAGCUGUGAGGAAGGCGGGGAUGACGUCAAAUCAGCACGGCCCUUACAUCCGGGGCGACACACGUGUUACAAUGGCGUGGACAAAGAGCAGCCACUUGGCGACAAGGAGCUAAUCUCCAAACCACGUCUCAGUUCGGAUCGGAGUCUGCAACUCGACUCCGUGAAGCUGGAUUCGCUAGUAAUCGCGCAUCAGCCACGGCGCGGUGAAUACGUUCCCGGGCCUUGUACACACCGCCCGUCAAGCCAUGGGAGCCGGGGGUACCUGAAGUCCGUAACCGCGAGGAUCGGCCUAGGGUAAAACUGGUGACUGGGGCU